rfam:Tyto alba contig77556, whole genome shotgun sequence.
AGCCUAUGAUGGUUUCGGUAUAAGAGUAGUGGACAGAAGUGAUUUCUGAAAACUCUUUGCUGAGGCU